UUUCUUCAUGUCGCAAAAAAAGCGUUCAAGGCAGUUUAAGGAAAGAGAACCAGUUAGGUAUCUUAGAGCGGCUAAAAAGAUUUUUCGGGGGGGAAAGAAGGAGCACUGACCUGCGUUGUUCUAAUCCGCUGAAAACGGCCAAGUUCUCGAGCUCCCCUGCUGUCCUGCAGUCGGCUUCCUGUAAGUGUUGCAUGUGACAUUAGACUUCCUCACUGCACCUUCUCUGACUCGUUCAAGGAGCGGUCAGAGACAUGUGAUAAGAUCGCCUCCCUGCCUACUUCACGCUGGGGUAACCCUGUGUCUCAAGAAAUGGCUGUGUCCCCACAGGGGUCCCCAGCUGGCCCCAGACAUCCCCAGGGCUCAGGACCUUGGACUCCUUCAUCAUGCCUGAGGGGCCUAACAGGGACAGCAAGUGGCCGCAGGAGUGAUGUCUCACGCCUGUGGAUGAGGACUAAACGCGCUUACUGAAAUCCAACUCUACGCUUGAAAGAGAAAGAAUAAAUAAAUACACAGUGGCAGCCGUUUCACUCACCAUUCUGUACAAUCCCUCUUGAGAUGAAAGCUGUGAAGCUAUGGUUGUCACUGGCAUGCCAUGCUGG